AAAAAUUAUUCUGGAGGUAUGGGGAAUUGAACCCCAGCCCUCUCCCAUACUAAGGGAGCGCUCUACCACUGAGCUAUACCCCCGCAUGUUUUAUUC
rnacentral:tRNA from 1 species